rnacentral:lncRNA from 1 species
AGCAAUCUAGUACAUUGAGAGGUCCAUACUUCUUACGUGAAACAAAUUCUUCCCUAACCUUAGCUUAACAAAUUGUGAAGUUUUUGCCUUUCACUUUUAAACAAGUACAUUUGACUAAAAAAAUAAACUCAAAUUGAAGCAAAUUAGGAGAUGAGUUGAAAGUCCCUUCAUUAGAUUGCAUGUUUGGUGCCAAAAGACUUGCAAUCACUACAAGAAAGAAGAGUUUUUGUGACCAUUAUAUAUUGGAUGCGCAAAAAGUCACACAUAAUGAGUAUAUGUGAGGAAAAGUAUUGGUCAUCACAUUUAGUCUCAUAAUAUCAGGAUUGGAAGAGCUAUACCUUAAUGUUGUCGUCAGAUCAGCUGCUCUAUAAUUGAUUCAGCUGCAUCCUUAACUUGUGAUACUCUCAAGUGCACAAGCCGUUCAGUAGUAUAGCAUAUGUAAGUGCGAGGUCGAUCCCCCGAGGAUUGAUGAUAGAUUGAUUCAAUUCAUUUUCCCUACACAAAACAUAAAUGAAAAAGAAAGGAAAUAAAUAAAACAAGAAAGAAAGAAAAGAAAUUAACUAAUUCAAGCAAAAAAGUUCCCAAGUUCAAUUUAGAUUCAUGAAUUGAUUCCAGUUAAAGUAUGAUUAAGCCAUGGUGUCUGUUCCUAACCUUGUAUUAAUUCCCAAUUCCCUAAUUUGAUCAUGUGUUGUCUAACCUAAAAUUAAGCAUAGAAGAACAUUUUAAACAACCAAGUAUGUAUCUAAUCCCGGUUGUUGAAUUCUCAUACAUACUCUUCC